rnacentral:rRNA from 1 species
AUUGAACGCUGGCGGUAUGCUUAACACAUGCAAGUCGAACGCUGAUAAGGUGCUUGCACCUUUGAUGAGUGGCGGACGGGUGAGUAAUGCAUAGGAAUCUGCCUAUUAGUGGGGGACAACGUGGGGAAACUCACGCUAAUACCGCAUACGAUCUACGGAUGAAAGCUGGGGACCUUCGGGCCUGGCGCUAAUAGAUGAGCCUAUGUCGGAUUAGCUAGUUGGUGGGGUAACGGGCCCACCAAGGCGAUGAUGGGUAGGCGGCCUGAGAGGGUGUACGCCCACACUGGGACUGAGAUACGGCCCAGACUCCUACGGGAGGCAGCAGUGGGGAAUUUUGCGCAAUGGGCGAGAGCCUGACGCAGCAACGCCGCGUGGGUGAUGAAGGUCUUCGGGUCGUAAACCCCUUUUGUGAGGGAAGAAGUUCUGACGGUACCUCACGAAUAAGACACGGCUAACUACGUG